UUGACUGACUGGUCAUUUAUACCCUAUUCUACAUCUAACAAAAAUAUGAUGCAGCUUACAAUAAAAGCUUAUAGAAGACAGCUAAAAUAAAGUCAGAGAGACAUCAGCAGCCAGUGAAAAAGGACUGAUAAUUCUACUAAGAACAGGAAGUAAAACAGUGACCACUUCAACCUUAAAUGUAUUUCUGACCUUCCUGGUAGCCAAGGCAAAGCAAAACAAAACGAAAUGAAAAGUCAAGAUGCUGUCUAUAGCUUUAAUACACUGAAAGAAAUACAGAAAGACAUCCUCAAAAUGCAAACGACUAAGACAAUUGCCCAGGUGCAGUGGCUCACGCUUGUAAUCCCAGCACUCUGGGAGGCCGAGGCGGGCGGAUCAACUGAGGUCAGGAGUUGGAGACCAGCCUGACCAACAUGGUGAAACCCUGUCUCUACUAAAAAUACAAAAUUAGCCAGGAUUGGUGGGACAUGCCUGUAAUCUCAGCUACUCGGGAGGCUGAGGCAGGGGAAUCACUUGAACCCGGGAGGCAGAGGUUGCAGUGAGCCAAGAUCGCACCAUCGCACUCCAGCCUGGGCAACAAGAGUGAAACUCCGUCUCAAGAAGAAAAAAAAGAAAAGACUAAGACGAUCAACUCCCUAGACAGACAGCUCCUUCUGGCUUGGCAGAAGAUGUGCAAAACUGUACUUUCUGUAUCACUAUAUUGACCUCAAAUUAAAGCCAAGGAUAUAACACUACAUUGUAAUUCACUGGAAGUAUUUCAAAUACAGACCAAAGCAGGAAACCUUCUGGUGUUCCCAGUUGCCUGGGACUGAGCUUAGAGAACUCGAGGCAAACGACCACAUGCAACCACCCAGAGCAGCAGUGAUGUUGCUGAAUGGACCACGAGGAAGAGGAAGACUGACAGGUGACAGGAAAGGACAGGACACCUGCCUGGCUGAGACGCCACCGCCAGGCCUGGGAGAAGAGGGGAGUUGUGUGAGGAUUGGAAAGGAGGAGAAGGCAUCUCUAGGGUGAGAGACGGCAGAUGUGACAAUACUGAGGUGGGAAUGUGUCACUCUUCCACUCUCCAGUGAAGUCACGCUGGUUUUCCCUUCCCGUAAACACAUUCUAAAGCACAGGCAUCCCAGUCGUGACCUCCCGAUCCAGUUCUCCUGACUCCUCCAUCCUCAGUUCCCACAGAAUGCUCGCCACUCCCAUACUGACCUCAUUCAAGACCAUUCCCUGACCACAUGCGCUCUGCAUUUCCACGCAUCGGCCCCACUCUUCCUUCUGCCCAAUGAGGCAAGAGAUGGGGACAGUCAUGAGACCAGGGCUGGGGGCUGGCUGUGUGGGUGAGUAGCUGCCUCUGCCACCGACUUGCUGUUGAGCUGAUGAUGGGCAAGUUACUUAAGCCCUCUGGGGCUUCAUGUCCUCAUCUACGAAGUAGACAGGUGCAGCACCCACUUCACGGCGGUGCUAUGAUGACGAAACGUGCUGAUGCAUGUGGAGACCUCUAGAGCACAGUGCUCAGCUCAUAAGUACACUCAGCUAAUGCCGGCUGACAGUCGUGGUACUAACAGUAAGAGCAGCCUCACUCUUACUAUUAGCCCUUCAAGGGCCAGAUCAAGGCUACCCAGUUCAGAAACUUUCUCCUCAUUUACAAUAAAGAUCCAUUGCUCCUUCAAAUUUAACUGCUUUCUAAUUUGUAUAUUUCGAUGGUGACCCUGAUUUCAUUCUGUCUUGAGUGUUUGCCUUCUAGGGACAAUAUCAGAUUUCAGCGAUUCCCCCAUCACCCAGCCAGGAGGCACUUGAUGUUUGGCUUGAAUUGAGAAACCUGAAGAAUAUUGCGACACGGAGAUUUACUCCGAUGUCAAACUUCCUUCCUAGGGCAGGAAGCCCAUAUUCAAGUACAGCAGGAA
rnacentral:lncRNA from 1 species